UACGGGGGGGGCAAGCGUUGUUCGGAAUUACUGGGCGUAAAGGGCUCGUAGGCGGCCAACUAAGUCAGACGUGAAAUCCCUCGGCUUAACCGGGGAACUGCGUCUGAUACUGGAUGGCUUGAGGUUGGGAGAGGGAUGCGGAAUUCCAGGUGUAGCGGUGAAAUGCGUAGAUAUCUGGAGGAACACCGGUGGCGAAGGCGGCCAUCCUGGACCAAUUCUGACGCUGAGGAGCGAAAGCCAGGGAGCAAAGCGGG
rnacentral:rRNA from 1 species